GGGAAUGUAGCUCAGUUGGUAGAGUGCUUGCCUUGCAUGCACAAGGCCCUGGGUUCAAUCCCCAGCACCACCA
rnacentral:tRNA from 1 species